AUGAUUGCGAAUGGUUGCCUUCGGUGCUGGCUCUUGCAAGUGCACGUUGGUGGCUUUCAUCCAAUACCCUUUGUGAACCUUUGGCCUCUUGCUAGCUUCGGCUGGCAGAGGAUUUUUACACACACACUCGAAUGUAAUGAAAACUAUUGUCGUGCGCAAGCACUAAUGUA
rnacentral:misc_RNA from 1 species